GGACCAAUAAAGCACUGGUCCUGCUCCAUCCUGUGUCAUCAGGACCCGCAGCUCCUCCAACUGUCUCAGCAAGCAAAGAGAAGACACAAGGAAGACUCCCCACGCUGACCCACUUUGGACUGGGAGUCAGCGCCGCUGCCAAGGGCAGAUGAAGCACUUUCACUACAGGGUUUGCUUCGGAAGGAAGAGCAAAUCUCCAUGGAGCUGUGCUGCCGGAAUCUAUUUGCUUGCAGAUGCAGAUGAAAACAACACUGAGAUUCCACCUCACACCACAAAGAAUGGCUGCUAUCAAGAAAUCAACCAAUAACAAAUGCUGGCAGGAGUGUGAGGAGAAAGCAACCCUUCUCCAUUGUUGGUGGGUGUGCAGACUGGUGGAACCACUGUGGAAAUCAGUAUGGUGAUACCUCAAAGAACUAGGGCUAGAGGUCCCAUUUGAUCCAGCUAUUCCUCUGCUAGGUAUCUUCCCAAAAUAAUUAAAAG
ensembl:lncRNA